ensembl:lncRNA
GUGUGUGUGUGUGUGUGUUUGCUUUGUCGUGAUCAACUAGUGUGAAAUUAUUCACACACUCACACGCACUGACCUACCCCAUGGACUGACCUCCAGGUACAUGUAUAAGUAUUUAUCUGCCCUAACGUGUGUGUGUGGUGUGUCAGGUCUACAAGGUUCGAUGCCAAGAUGGAGAGGCGGACAAAUAAGAUGAAGGGAAAACAGGAAGAGAGGUCUCAGUGGGUUCAACCCGUACUCCGAAUUCUCAUGAGCUGAUAUUUGAACACUGUACUAUCAACUGCCUGCCUUCUCUUCACCUCUGACCUUUCACCCCCACCCCCCCACCCCAAGGACUGUUAACCUUAGUCUGCUCUAUGCUCAGCUUACCCUCCCUUAAACCAAAAGUAGAGGUGUUUUAAAGGUUUUGUAUCAUUUCAGACCGUAGUAUUGAAUGUAGUGCUCACAAGCCAAAACGGGUUGCCAAAUAUUGUGCACAACGUCACUUAUUUCGUAUAUGUUACGUCCUGCAAAAAAAUAAUCCUGCAAUUUGUAUGAUGUUAUGAAUUCCAAUUCGUACAAUAUGUUACGAAUGUGUAAGUGCUUAAGAUCCCGUUCAAUCUCUUUAACCGUUUGAGGAGAAUACAUGAAACUGGCCUUAGAUCAAAGUUUUGGUACAACCUGUUUAUACAACAUUAUCUGCCCAUGUAACACAGGUCAUUAAACAUUGUGUUGAAUGUAAUGAACAAAGUAUUCUAUGAAUGCUUAGCUAGAACAAGUUCUGCACUGCUUGGUGAGUGGUGCAGUGCUGAACAUGUCUUGCAGUGCUGAACAUGUCUUGCAGUGCUGAACAUGUCUUGCAGUGCUGAACACGUCUUGCAGUGCAGACUGUGAGAGCAGUGGAAAGGUGCAGUAGCCUUAGGAACUUACCUAAUUUAUACCAUCUUCCUUCUGUGACUACUACUGUAUUAUAAACUCAUGAUGGUAUUUGAGGGUUACUGCUUGGUUAUAGGAGAUCUUGCCUAUGCUCUACUUGAUUGAGAAGAUGCACUCCAGAAAAGUUGACCUUUUCUAUGUAUAUUUAUCUUAUGGGGAUCUAUUGUUAAUGUGUCCAGUUCACACCUGUACUCCAUCAAACAAUAAACUUGUAUAGAUGUAUUGUCCUAAUUUAAACCAGAAUUGUACUCAAUGAUGCACUAUGCAGAAAUCCCUCUGCCAUUUCCUGCUUGCUAAAAUUCUAAUAGUUCACCUAAUUUCAGUUUGUGACAAAACAAGCAAGUAUAGUUUAGAGAAUCAUUGUACCAUCUAAACAGCUGUGGAAUAUGUUUUCCAUACUCUAAGCAUAGAAAUAUUGCACAUACAACAGGUCUGCCGCUUCUUAGACUUGCUUUCAAAGAGAGUGACAGAUCUAUAACUCACAUUUCUAUGUGAAUUUGGUCUGGUGUCCCAAAAAGUUACAUAUUGCAGCUUUAAAUAGGAGGGUGUUCAGAAGAGUUGAAUUAUCAAAAUUGCAGACAGAAAUGUACCCUACCAUAUAGAAUGUACACACCUUGUACAAUGAGACAAAGAAUGUCAGAUCUAAGUAAUACAUUUCUACCUGUGACAGCUUUCUCAUUACAGACACCAGCUACUUCCGUUAGAAUCUUGUCAGGCCAAAUUAAGUAAUUUUUUUAUUGAUGUCAAGUUGUGUAAUAAACUACCCUUUGUCUGUUGAUUUGAGCAAAUCUAUUUUUACUUAAAUUAAACUUUCCAC